AUUUUUAUGUCUUAAAUUAUUCAUCUCAUAGGACAACUUGAUUAGAACCGAGGGCAAAACAAAGAAAUAUAAAUUUAGAUUCCAGAUGACAUGGGAUUAGGUGUAGGACAUUCAGCUGGGCACGAAUUUUAGACUAAUAUAAUAUAUACACACUGUGUUUAAUUAAUUACUAGUCUUAGUUUUAAGAAUGUUAUCGCUCUAAAUAUUGC